CACGUAGGGUGCGAGCGUUGUCCGGAAUUAUUGGGCGUAAAGAGCUCGUAGGCGGUGUGUCGCGUCGGCCGUGAAAACCUGCAGCUUAACUGUGGGCUUGCGGUCGAUACGGGCAUCACUGGAGUUCGGCAGGGGAGACUGGAAUUCCUGGUGUAGCGGUGAAAUGCGCAGAUAUCAGGAGGAACACCGAUGGCGAAGGCAGAUCUCUGGGCCGUAACUGACGCUGGAGGAGCGAAAAGCAUGGGGAGCGAACAGG
rnacentral:rRNA from 1 species